GUUAAGCGACUAAGCGUACACGGUGGAUGCCCUGGCAGUCAGAGGCGAUGAAGGACGUGCUAAUCUGCGAUAAGCGUCGGUAAGGUGAUAUGAACCGUUAUAACCGGCGAUUUCCGAAUGGGGAAACCCAGUGUGUUUCGACACACUAUCAUUAACUGAAUCCAUAGGUUAAUGAGGCGAACCGGGGGAACUGAAACAUCUAAGUACCCCGAGGAAAAGAAAUCAACCGAGAUUCCCCCAGUAGCGGCGAGCGAACGGGGAGCAGCCCAGAGCCUGAAUCAGUGUGUGUGUUAGUGGAAGCGUCUGGAAAGGCGCGCGAUACAGGGUGACAGCCCCGUACACAAAAAUGCACAUGCUGUGAGCUCGAUGAGUAGGGCGGGACACGUGGUAUCCUGUCUGAAUAUGGGGGGACCAUCCUCCAAGGCUAAAUACUCCUGACUGACCGAUAGUGAACCAGUACCGUGAGGGAAAGGCGAAAAGAACCCCGGCGAGGGGAGUGAAAAAGAACCUGAAACCGUGUACGUACAAGCAGUGGGAGCACGCUUAGGCGUGUGACUGCGUACCUUUUGUAUAAUGGGUCAGCGACUUAUAUUCUGUAGCAAGGUUAACCGAAUAGGGGAGCCGAAGGGAAACCGAGUCUUAACUGGGCGUUAAGUUGCAGGGUAUAGACCCGAAACCCGGUGAUCUAGCCAUGGGCAGGUUGAAGGUUGGGUAACACUAACUGGAGGACCGAACCGACUAAUGUUGAAAAAUUAGCGGAUGACUUGUGGCUGGGGGUGAAAGGCCAAUCAAACCGGGAGAUAGCUGGUUCUCCCCGAAAGCUAUUUAGGUAGCGCCUCGUGAAUUCAUCUCCGGGGGUAGAGCACUGUUUCGGCAAGGGGGUCAUCCCGACUUACCAACCCGAUGCAAACUGCGAAUACCGGAGAAUGUUAUCACGGGAGACACACGGCGGGUGCUAACGUCCGUCGUGAAGAGGGAAACAACCCAGACCGCCAGCUAAGGUCCCAAAGUCAUGGUUAAGUGGGAAACGAUGUGGGAAGGCCCAGACAGCCAGGAUGUUGGCUUAGAAGCAGCCAUCAUUUAAAGAAAGCGUAAUAGCUCACUGGUCGAGUCGGCCUGCGCGGAAGAUGUAACGGGGCUAAACCAUGCACCGAAGCUGCGGCAGCGACACUAUGUGUUGUUGGGUAGGGGAGCGUUCUGUAAGCCUGUGAAGGUGUACUGUGAGGUAUGCUGGAGGUAUCAGAAGUGCGAAUGCUGACAUAAGUAACGAUAAAGCGGGUGAAAAGCCCGCUCGCCGGAAGACCAAGGGUUCCUGUCCAACGUUAAUCGGGGCAGGGUGAGUCGACCCCUAAGGCGAGGCCGAAAGGCGUAGUCGAUGGGAAACAGGUUAAUAUUCCUGUACUUGGUGUUACUGCGAAGGGGGGACGGAGAAGGCUAUGUUGGCCGGGCGACGGUUGUCCCGGUUUAAGCGUGUAGGCUGGUUUUCCAGGCAAAUCCGGAAAAUCAAGGCUGAGGCGUGAUGACGAGGCACUACGGUGCUGAAGCAACAAAUGCCCUGCUUCCAGGAAAAGCCUCUAAGCAUCAGGUAACAUCAAAUCGUACCCCAAACCGACACAGGUGGUCAGGUAGAGAAUACCAAGGCGCUUGAGAGAACUCGGGUGAAGGAACUAGGCAAAAUGGUGCCGUAACUUCGGGAGAAGGCACGCUGAUAUGUAGGUGAAGUCCCUCGCGGAUGGAGCUGAAAUCAGUCGAAGAUACCAGCUGGCUGCAACUGUUUAUUAAAAACACAGCACUGUGCAAACACGAAAGUGGACGUAUACGGUGUGACGCCUGCCCGGUGCCGGAAGGUUAAUUGAUGGGGUUAGCCGCAA
rnacentral:rRNA from 1 species